UGGGGAAUAUUGGACAAUGGGCGAAAGCCUGAUCCAGCCAUGCCGCGUGUGUGAAGAAGGUCCUCGGAUUGUAAAGCACUUUAAGUUGGGAGGAAGGGCAGUAAGCGAAUACCUUGCUGUUUUGACGUUACCGACAGAAUAAGCACCGGCUAACUCUGUGCCAGCAGCCGCGGUAAUACAGAGGGUGCAAGCGUUAAUCGGAAUUACUGGGCGUAAAGCGCGCGUAGGUGGUUCGUUAAGUUGAAGGUGAAAGCCCCGGGCUCAACCUGGGAACUGCAUCCAACACUGGCGAGCUUGAGAAAGGCAGAGGGUGGUGGAAUUUCCUGUGUGGCGGUGAAAGGCGUAGAUAUAGGAAGGAACACCAGUGGCGAAGGCGACCACCUGGGCUCAUACUGACACUGAGGUGCGAAAACGUGGGGAGCAAACAGG
rnacentral:rRNA from 1 species